ensembl:snoRNA SNORD116 Small nucleolar RNA SNORD116
GGAUCGACAAUGAGUCCCCAGUAAAAACAUUCCUUGGAAAAGCUGAAUAAAAUGAGUGAAAACUCGUAGCGUCGUUUUCAUUGGAACUGAGGUUC